GACGAGCCUCACGAACGUUAUUCGGAAUUACUGGGCUUAAAGGGUGCGUAGGCGGCGCGGAAAGUUGGGUGUGAAAUCCCUCGGCUCAACCGAGGAACUGCGCCCAAAACUACCGUGCUCGAGGAAGAUAGAGGUGAGCGGAACUUACGGUGGAGCGGUGAAAUGCGUUGAUAUCGUAAGGAACACCCGUGGCGAAAGCGGUGCACUGGACCUCUUCUGACGCUGAGGCACGAAAGCCAGGGGAGCGAAC
rnacentral:rRNA from 1 species